UCUUCGCUAGUAUAUCGGUUAGUACACGCGCCUGUCAUCUAUCCGAAUCGCGCGAAAGCUGGGUUCGACUCCCAGGCGAAGAG